UGGUUUUGCCCCUCCUCAUCGCUCGAUCCAACUCCUCCCUCUCCCUCGGUCUCGCCUCUCCUAUCGCUCGAUGUCGCUCGAUCCUCUCUAGGGUUCGCCGCCCGCCGCCGUCCCUCGCCGUCCUGCUCCGCUGUCGCCCCUCCCUCCACCUACCUCGCCCCUGCUCUAGGGUUCGCCUCCCGCCGCCGCCGCCCCCCGCCGCCCUGCUCCACUGUUGCCCGUCCCUCCGCCUGCCUCGCCCCCUCCCCUACACUCACCCCUGCCCGAUCUGGAUCUGGAUGAGGCGUUGCCUCCCGUUCCUCUCAUCGCGUCCCUUGUGCCAGCCAUGGAAGAGGGGAGGAAGAAGGGGAGGGAGAGCAAAGAGGACCGCGGUGGCGAUGUGCCAACGUUGGCAGGACAAAGAUGUGUGAAUCAAGGAGUCCCUGCAUCUACCCGCGACCCUAGAAUAGCCGCUACCGCUGUGACCUUUCUCCAUGCCGUGAGCUUCGAGGAGUCUGGUGGCGCCAUCACGCCGGCCUCUGUCCAAGAGGUCAUCGCGCUCAACAGGCCCUCACUCCUCGGCUCCGCCUGCGGAGGUCGUCGACGCCAUCACAGGGUGCCGCUUUGAGGCCAGGGUUGAAGCUGCCACCGAGGAGGCCAUCUUGACACAGAUGUUGCAGGCACUCCUGACGUGCAUGCGCUCCCCUGCGAUUAGUGACCAACACAUCUGCUCUGUCAUGAGCAUGUGCUUCGUGUCAUACAGGUCACGGCCAAAGGCGAGCUCGUGCAACGGUUCAGGUGCAUCCCAUAGGGGCAGCUCAAGUUUCUUUCAUAAUGCUAUUUGUUCUGAGUGCAUUGCAUAUUGAAGUAAACUGGAUGGGCUAAUCUUGAGUUCCUCCAUCAAGUUAUAUUACCUCGACAAGAAAAGGUGCAGGAAGACCAUAUAAAGUACUAUGUUUUGUCUCAUUGCCAAUAUAUCUGCAUAAGGUACAUCUAAGGAGGCCUUCUCCGACUAGGAGGCUGCGGUUCGAGGUCGUCGGCAGCGACGAUGCCGCCAGCCGCAAGCGCUGCCGCGAGGACGACAAAAGAGAAGUUUAGAUCUUUUUGGACAGUUAUUGCAGCCAACAGCCAACAUUCUAAAUGAGUAUAAAACAAUGCUAUGAGGUAAUAUAUCCCUCUGUGAUAAUAGUUUAACAUAUGGGCUACUCGUCGUUGCAUGCUAAAUUAUUGCUGGUAUCAACUUUAUUAUUAGUUUAGUGAUUAUUACAAGCAUCUCAAUUUUUCAGUCAAAGGCAUCUAAAAUGUUUCUUGAUUCACGCAUGUAUAUUUCAAAGAGGAAUGCAGCCUUGAGUAAAUGAAUAUUGCAAAGCUUAAUACCAGUCCCAAAAACUUGCUGUGGCCAGAGAAAGAGGCCAAUAUCCGGCGUGGUCUGUUCAAUCUACUACAUGUAAUUUGGUGUUCUAUUGUGUGCACCAUCAGUUUUUGUUGUUGUAUAAGUUCUACUUCAAAUAUGUGUAGCUAGACCCCGUCGAAGUGAUCUUUUUGUUUCUCGUCUCAUGUAACUGAAGAAAAUGAGAGAAUGUAUUGGACACUGGUCAUGUAUGUAGUCGGCAGAGCUGUUUUAUGCAAUGCCUAUUGUCACAAUAGCAUAUAUGUCUAUACGGGGAGGAGACCAAGAGAGUACAUCAGAAGCCAUUGAUUUCCCAUGGAAUAUUAAAAACUUCCAGAUUACCUGUUCAUAUGAUGGUAUCCACAAGAAACUUCCUAUCCUGUAUGUUUUAGCAUGCUCCACACAAAUAUAUUAAUUAAUUU